rnacentral:sRNA from 1 species
UUCUUUACUUACAAACAAUUGGUUUUAGUUUUUAAAAUUAUCCAAGGCUGAUUUCACCUAAUUAAAAUAACCAUGACUAGAUUUUAACCCGCGGACAACUUAUUUUUUAAAUUAGUAUAUAUAAAAGUUUGCAAAUUAAAUCUAUUUAUUUUUAUUUUAUAGUUUACAAUUGUUAUUAAAUAACGUCUUACCAAACCCGUCUCGCCAAAUCCGCCCCGUAAAAAAAAACCGCGGUACACCGCUAAUUUAAAUAUAUAAUUAAAAGAAAUAUUUUACGGGAUUGCAAUUGUAUUUUGGUUUGUCAAACAAAUAUUUGUUUAAAAUAGUUGCCAAAAUCUAGUUCAAAUUUUGGAGAAAAAAGAUUUAUUGGAUAGAUAAAGAAUAUAUUUAGGUGGGUUUUGCUCAUUUUAAGGGAUUGCAAUUAUAUUUUUGUUUGUCAAACAUUUUUUGUUUUAAAUAGUUGCUGAAUAUAUUUGGAAUAUUUUUAGUUU